CAGAGAUGGGCACCUGACUCUUACAAUGCAAUGAGAGUCAGCUUCUUAUGCCAGUGCUUUUGGCAAAGAAAAACUGAAAAAAAAAAUUCCACAUGAAGAAAAACAGUGGAUCCUAGACUCAUUGCCCAGAGGAGGACUAUGAACAUUCCACAUGAAGAAAAACAGUGGCUCCUAGACUCAUUGCCCAGAGGAAGACUAUGAACAUUCCAAAUGAAGAAAAACAGUGGCUCCUAGACUCAUUGCCCAGAGGAAGACUAUGAACAUUCCAAAUGAAGAAAAACAGUGGCUCCUAGACUCAUUGCCCAGAGGAAGACUAUUAACAUUCCACAUGAAGAAAAACAGUGGCUCCUAGACUCAUUGCCCAGAGGAGGACUAUGAAUAUUCCACAUGAAGAAAAACAGUGGCUCCUAGACUCAUUGCCCAGAGGAAGACUAUGAACAUUCCAAAUGAAGAAAAACAGUGGCUCCUAGACUCAUUGCCCAGAGGAAGACUAUGAACAUUCCAAAUGAAGAAAAACAGUGGCUCCUAGACUCAUUGCCCAGAGGAGGACUAUGAACAUUCCAAAUGAAGAAAAACAGUGGAUUCUAGACUCAUUGCCCAGAGAAAGACUAUGAACAUUCCAAAUGAAGAAAAACAGUGGAUCCUAGACUCACUGCCCAGAGGAGGACUAUGAACAUUCCAAAUGAAGAAAAACAGUGGAUCCUAGACUCAUUGCCCAGAGAAAGACUAUGAACAUUCCAAAUGAAGAAAAACAGUGGAUCCUAGACUCACUGCCCAGAGGAGGACUAUGAACAUCUUAGCAAGUCUCCCCUCAGGUUGUCCUAGAAUAGAUGUCUCUACGUAGUUAAUAAAAACAUACAUUCAAGUUUUGCAGCUUUUUGUUCCACUUUACAUUUUAAGUUGAACGUUUACACUUCCCAUUCCAAGAUCUUCAGAAACAUGUUUAGAAACAGAAGAAUAUCCCAACAACAGUCUGUUUAACCUCUUCCCCUAAUGCUGAACUAUUGUUGCUUUAAGCAUACAUUUUCUGUGUGUGUUUCAGAUGUAGUUUCCUUAGGAAAGAUUCUCUAUGCUGUGCAACAAUUCCCCAUGUGUCUCUUACAUUUCUGCACAUCUUGUGUCAGCAUUUGUUCUAGACCGUCUUUAUAAGGAUGUUUGUAUAGCUAAUAGCAUUGGAAGAUAGGGCUAAUAUAGUAGAAGACAGAUUUAUUUGCUGAUUAGGAUUAUAAUAAUAAUAUCUCCGGACCAGGCGCAGUGGCUCAUGCCUGUAAUCCCACCAAUUUGUGAGGCUGAGGCAGGCAGAUGACCUGAGGUUGGGAGUUCGAGACCAGCCUGGCUAAUAUGGUGAAACCCCCGUCUCUACUACAAACACUUAAAAAAUUAGCUGGGUGUGGUGGUGGGUGCCUGUAAUCCCAGCUACUUGGGAGACAGGUGGGAGAAUUGCUUGAACCCAAGAGGCAGGGGUUGCAAUGAGCUAAGAUCAUACCACUGCACUCCAACAUGGGUGUGACAGAGCAAGACUCUACCUCAAAAAAAACAAAAAACAAAAAAAGAAGAAGAAAAAGAAAAAGAAAGGAUUAUAAUGACAAUGUCUCCCUCCAUCCAGGGUAAAGGUUGAAAAGACCAAGAUUCCUAAACUUGGGGUUCCUCAGGUGUGAUGCAAAUCCACUGCAGGCACAGAUUCUACCUGGAUCCAUCCGUGUAUUACUCAUUUCUCACACUGCUAAUAAAAACAUACCCAAGGCUGGAUGUGGUGUCU
rnacentral:lncRNA from 10 species